rfam:Ovis aries breed Texel chromosome 3, whole genome shotgun sequence.
UCCCUGGUGGCUUAGAGGUUAAAGCGUCUGCCUGGAAUGUGGGAGACCCGGGUUUGAUCCCUGGGUCGAGGAG